rnacentral:rRNA from 1 species
CGUAGUCAACCUGCCCUGGAGACAAGGACAACCCCGGGAAACUGGGAUUAAUCCUCGAUAGGUCAUCUCAUCUGGAAGGAGAGAUGGCUUAAAGGGGUACGAGGGCUUCUUCCACGUAUUCGCUCCAGGAUGGGACUGCGACCGAUCAGGCUGUUGGCGGGGUAAUGGCCCACCAAACCUGUAACCGGUACGGGCCUUGAGAGAGGUGGCCCGGAGAUGGACACUGAGAGAAGGGUCCAGGUCCUACGGGGCGCAGCAGGCGCGAAACCUUCGCAAUGCGCGAAAGCGUGACGAGGUUAAUCCGAGUGACUCCCGCUGAGGGGGUCUUUUGUCAGCUGUAAAUAGGCAGGCGAAUAAGGGGAGGGCAAGCCUGGUGUCAGCCGCCGCGGUAAUACCAGCUCCUCGAGUGGUCGGGGCGAUUAUUGGGCCUAAAGCAUCCGUAGCCGGUUCCGUAGGUCCUCUGUUAAAUCCAACUGCUUAACAGUUGACCUGCAGAGGAUACCGCGGGACUAGGAGGCGGGAGAGGCGGACGGUACUCCGCGUGUAGGGGUAAAAUCCUUUGAUCCGCGGAAGACCACCAGUGGCGAAGGCGGUCCGCCAGAACGCGCUCGACGGUGAGGGAUGAAAGCUGGGGGAGCGAACCGGAUUAGAUACCCGGGUAGUCCCAGCCGU